GACAGAGGUGCCGAGCGUUAGGCGGAAUCACUGGGCUUAAAGCGUGUGUAGGCGGACCGUUAAGUACCUUGUGAAAUCCCCCGGCUCAACCGGGGAACGGCUGGGUAUACUGGCGGUCUUGAGCCAUCCAGGGGCAGUCGGAACAGAUGGUGGAGCGGUGAAAUGCGUAGAUAUCGUCUGGAACGCCGAAGGUGAAAACAGACUGCUGGGGAUGAGCUGACGCUGAGACACGAAAGCCAGGGGAGCAAACGGGAU
rnacentral:rRNA from 1 species